CAGCAAGAAUCUGUGUCUCAGUGCUCAUGUGCUGGUCGCUCUUGUUGUCUGGCUUUCGUCAGAGCCUCACAUUUCCUACCUGUCACCACAAGGGGUGUCCAGGACGCGUUGUGAGCGUGCAGCCCCUGAAAGCUGUCUGCGCAGGGUAGCCUGGCUGUUUAGCGCUGAAUGCUUCUGUGAAACUGGAGGAGAGAUUCUUGCUGCUGCUCUUCAGGGAUUGUUGCUGUGGUGAGGGGCGAUAACAAAUUUGGAGGUGUGUAUUCGUGUACGAGGAGACGCCGAGUGCAUUUGAUUGAGGCGUCUGCCUGCUGGGAAACACUGAGAGAAGAGAGACAGAGGGAGGCAGUGAAAAGAAGAGGCAAGAAUAAGACUGAAGUACAGAGCAGCUGCCUCCUAAUACUCUGGUUCUUUUGGAUGCCUUAGUGAAUGUGAACAUGGAUUCUGUCACUGAAAUCUUCUUGAAGCUGCUGUUUCUCAUAUCUGUUCGUAACUGGAACAUGGUAGUGGCAGGGAAUAAAUGUUUUCAAAUUCCCAUGAACGUGUUUGUCCGUGAGCUCAGUCAGCAGAAUGGGUGGAGAAAAUUUGGUCAUGAUUGAUGGAUAGUAACAGACAAGUAAUGACACCCUCAAAGUAGGAUAAGAUCAGAUAGAAUCAACU